rnacentral:misc_RNA from 1 species
GAUGAAGAACGUAGCGAAAUGCGAUAAGUAAUGUGAAUUGCAGAAUUCAGUGAAUCAUCGAAUCUUUGAACGCACCUUGCGCUCCUUGGUAUUCCGAGGAGCAUGCCUGUUUGAGUGUCAUGAAUCUCUCAAACUCUUAGUUUCAUUACUGAGUGUUUGGAUUUGGAGGUCUAUGCUGGCGCAAGUCAGCUCCUCUUAAAUACAUUAGCUUGGGUCUUGCAUGUCUGGAUCCUUGGUGUGAUAAUUAUCUACGCCAUGAUGUCCCUUCAAGCCCUGCUUCUAAUCGUCUGAAUAAGACAAUUUAUUACUUGACAUCUGACCUCAAAUCAGGUAGGACUACCCGCUGAACUUAAGCAUAUCAAUAAGCGGAGGA